CAGCCAGGCACAGUGGCUCGUGCCUGUAAUCCCAGCACUUUGGGAGGCCGAGGCAGGAGACUUGCUUGAGCCCAGGAGUUCAAGGCCACCCUGGGCAAUGCAGGGAGACCUCGUCUCUACAAAAAAACAAAAAGAUUAGCCUGGCGUGGUGGCUCACGCCUGUAGUCCCAGCUACUUGGGAGGCUGAGGUGGGAGGAUCCCUUGAGCUUGGGAGGUUGAGGCUACAGCGAGCUGUGACUGCGCCAGUGCACUCCAGCCUGGGCAACAGAGCGAGACACUGUCUCAAAAAAGAAAAGAAAAGCGAAGCCACUCACAUGAGGUCGUGCUCCUGGGGACUGGCAUGGCCAGGACUCCAACCCCGGCAGCCUGUCCCAGAGCCCUCGAGCUAGCCCCAGUGCAGUCUCUCCACCACCCGGCACUUCCUCAGGCCACCUUCCCGCCAGAGCCUUUGCCCAAAACCUGGUAUCACCCCCUCUCCUCCGUCCCUAAUCCCACCUCUCGGGCCUGGCCACUCCACCCCACCCCUUCCAGGACUCAGAUUCAGACUCUGAGGGAGGAGCCGCUGGUGGAGAAGUAGACAGUGAGUAUCUUCCUUGAGGGACAGGGAGCAGGGUUCUGGGGGGGGGGGGGGAUUUCAGGGUAGGGUGUGGGUGAUACCUCCUCAACUCCGUCAGGAGUGACAUUCAAAGUAUGUAGCAAUGGGUUGGGUACCAGUGCCACAGCAGGCUCCUGGAGGCCCCUGGCUGGGCCAGGCCUCGUGCCUUUAGAUGUGGGGAGGCCGGGGACCCCAGGGCUGGGGCCAGGGUGCUGGAGACAUCCAUGCCCCCUGGCUGAAUGCCCGUCCUGCCGCUGUCUCUCUUCUUUCCGGUCAGUGGACUUCCUGCGGAACUUAUUCUCCCAGACGCUCAGCCUGGGCAGCCAGAAGGAGCGUCUGCUGGACGAGCUGACCUUGGAAGGGGUGGCCCGGUACAUGCAGAGCGAACGCUGUCGCAGAGUCAUCUGUUUGGUGGGAGCUGGAAUCUCCACAUCUGCAGGCAUCCCCGACUUUCGCUCUCCAUCCACCGGCCUCUAUGACAACCUAGAGAAGUACCAUCUUCCCUACCCAGAGGCCAUCUUCGAGAUCAGCUAUUUCAAGAAACAUCCGGAACCCUUCUUUGCCCUCGCCAAGGAACUCUAUCCUGGGCAGUUCAAGCCGACCAUCUGUCACUACUUCAUGCGCCUGCUGAAGGACAAGGGGCUACUCCUGCGCUGCUACACGCAGAACAUAGAUACCCUGGAGCGAAUAGCAGGGCUGGAACAGGAGGACUUGGUGGAGGCCCAUGGCACCUUCUACACAUCGCACUGCGUCAGCGUCAGCUGCCGGCACGAAUACCCGCUAAGCUGGAUGAAAGAGAAGAUCUUCUCUGAGGUGACGCCCAAGUGUGAGGACUGUCAGAGCCUUGUGAAGCCUGAUAUCGUCUUUUUUGGUGAGAGCCUCCCAGCGCGUUUCUUCUCCUGUAUGCAGUCAGACUUCCUGAAGGUGGACCUCCUCCUGAUCAUGGGCACCUCCUUGCAGGUGCAGCCCUUUGCCUCCCUCAUCAGCAAGGCACCCCUCUCCACCCCUCGCCUGCUCAUCAACAAGGAGAAAGCUGGCCAGUCGGACCCUUUCCUGGGGAUGAUUAUGGGCCUCGGAGGAGGCAUGGACUUUGACUCCAAGAAGGCCUACAGGGACGUGGCCUGGCUGGGUGACUGCGACCAGGGCUGCCUGGCCCUUGCUGAGCUCCUCGGAUGGAAGAAGGAGCUGGAGGACCUUGUCCGGAGGGAGCACGCCAGCAUAGAUGCCCAGUCGGGGGCGGGGGCCCCCAACCCCAGCACUUCAGCUUCCCCCAAGAAGUCCCCGCCACCUGCCAAGGACGAGGCCAGGACAACAGAGAGGGAGAAACCCCAGUGACAGCUGUAUCUCCCAGGCGGGAUGCCGAGCUCCUCAGGGACAGCUGAGCCUCAACCAGGCCUGGCCCCCUCUUAACCAGCAGUUCUUGUCUGGGGAGCUCAGAACAUCCCCCAGUCUCUUACCACUCCCUCCCCAAAACUGGGGUUCCAGCAACCCUGCCCCCCCAACCCCAGCAAAUCUCUAACACCUCCUAGAGGCCAAGGCUUAAACAGGCAUCUCUACCAGCCCCACUAUUUCUAACCACUCCUGGGUUAAGGAGUAACCUCCCUCAUCUCUAACUGCCCCCACGGGGCCAGGGCUACCCCAGAACUUUUAACUCUUCCAGGACAGGGAGCUUCGGGCCCCUACUCUGUCUCCUGCCCCCAGGGGCCUGUGGCUAAGUAAACCAUACCUAACCUACCCCAGUGUGGGUGUGGGCCUCUGAAAAUAACCCACACCCAGCAUAGGGGGAGUCUGAGCCGGGAGGGCUCCUGAGUCUCUGCCUUCAGCUCCCAAAAUGGGUGGUGGGCCCCCUUCACGUGGGACCCGCUUUCGCUUCCUGUGCUGGAUGGGCAGAAGACAUUGCUUAUUGGAGACAAAUUAAAAACAAAAACAACUAACAAUCC
rnacentral:sRNA from 1 species